UACAGAGGUCUCAAGCGUUGUUCGGAUUCAUUGGGCGUAAAGGGUGCGUAGGCGGCGCGGUAAGUCGGGUGUGAAAUCUCGGAGCUUAACUCCGAAACUGCAUUCGAUACUGCCGUGCUUGAGGACUGGAGAGGAGACUGGAAUUUACGGUGUAGCGGUGAAAUGCGUAGAUAUCGUAAGGAAGACCAGUGGCGAAGGCGGGUCUCUGGACAGUUCCUGACGCUGAGGCACGAAGGCCAGGGGAGCAAAC
rnacentral:rRNA from 1 species